rnacentral:rRNA from 1 species
UACGUAGGGACCAAGCGUUGUCCGGAAUCAUUGGGCGUAAAGCGCGCGUAGGCGGCCCGGUAAGUCCGUUGUAAAAGUCAAAGGCUCAACCUUUGAAUGCCGAUGGAUACUGCCGGGCUAGAGUCCGGAAGAGGCGAGUAGAAUUCCUGGUGUAGCGGUGGAAUGCGCAGAUAUCAGGAGGAAUACCCAUAGCGAAGGCAGCUCGCUGGGACGGUACUGACGCUGAGGCGCGAAAGCGUGGGGAGCGAACAGG